rnacentral:rRNA from 1 species
UACAGAGGGGGCAAGCGUUGUUCGGAAUUACUGGGCGUAAAGGGCGCGUAGGCGGCCGACUAAGUCAGACGUGAAAUCCCCAGGCUUAACCUGGGAACUGCGUCUGAUACUGGAUGGCUUGAGUUUGGGAGAGGGACGCGGAAUUCCAGGUGUAGCGGUGAAAUGCGUAGAUAUCUGGAGGAACACCGGUGGCGAAGGCGGCGUCCUGGACCAAUACUGACACUGAUGAGCGAAAGCCAGGGGAGCAAACGGG